GUUGUGGCUCAGUGGAAGAGCAUUUCCCUAGUAUGCAUGAGGCACUGAGUUCUAUCCUCAGCACAACA
rnacentral:tRNA from 1 species